rnacentral:rRNA from 1 species
ACGGGGGGCCUACGGGAGGCAGCAGUAGGGAAUCUUCCGCAAUGGACGAAAGUCUGACGGAGCAACGCCGCGUGAGUGAUGAAGGCUUUCGGGUCGUAAAACUCUGUUGUUAGGGAAGAACAAGUGCUAGUUGAAUAAGCUGGCACCUUGACGGUACCUAACCAGAAAGCCACGGCUAACUACGUGCCAGCAGCCGCGGUAAUACGUAGGUGGCAAGCGUUAUCCGGAAUUAUUGGGCGUAAAGCGCGCGCAGGUGGUUUCUUAAGUCUGAUGUGAAAGCCCACGGCUCAACCGUGGAGGGUCAUUGGAAACUGGGAGACUUGAGUGCAGAAGAGGAAAGUGGAAUUCCAUGUGUAGCGGUGAAAUGCGUAGAGAUAUGGAGGAACACCAGUGGCGAAGGCGACUUUCUGGUCUGUAACUGACACUGAGGCGCGAAAGCGUGGGGAGCAAACAGGAUUAGAUACCCUGGUAGUCCACGCCGUAAACGAUGAGUGCUAAGUGUUAGAGGGUUUCCGCCCCUUUAGUGCUGAAUUAACGCAUUAACACUCCGCCUGGGGAGUACGGCCGCAAGGCUGAAACUCAAGGAAUUGACGG